UACGGAGGGUGCAAACGUUGCUCGGAAUCAUUGGGCGUAAAGCGCUCGCAGGCGGCUCGAUGCGUCGUGCGUGAAACACCCCGGCUCAACUGGGGAGGGUCGUGCGAUACGGUCGAGCUUGAGGCCAGUAGGGGGAUGCGGAAUUCCGGGUGUAGUGGUGGAAUGCGUAGAGAUCCGGAGGAACACCAGCGGCGAAGGCGGCAUCCUGGACUGGUACUGACGCUCAGGAGCGAAAGCGUGGGGAGCGAUCCGG
rnacentral:rRNA from 1 species